AGUGAACGCUGGCGGUAGGCCUAACACAUGCAAGUCGAACGGCAGCACAGUAAGAGCUUGCUCUUACGGGUGGCGAGUGGCGGACGGGUGAGGAAUACAUCGGAAUCUACUUUUUCGUGGGGGAUAACGUAGGGAAACUUACGCUAAUACCGCAUACGACCUACGGGUGAAAGCAGGGGAUCUUCGGACCUUGCGCGAUUGAAUGAGCCGAUGUCGGAUUAGCUAGUUGGCGGGGUAAAGGCCCACCAAGGCGACGAUCCGUAGCUGGUAUGAGAGGAUGAUCCGCCACACGGGAACUGAGACACGGUCCAGACUCCUACGGGAGGCAGCAGUGGGGAAUAUUGGACAAAGGGCGCAAGCCUGAUCCAGCCAUACCGCGUGGGUGAAGAAGGCCUUCGGGUUGUAAAGCCCUUUUGUUGGGAAAGAAAAGCAGCAGGUUAAUACCCCGCUGUUCUGACGGUACCCAAAGAAUAAGCACCGGCUAACUUCGUG
rnacentral:rRNA from 1 species